rnacentral:rRNA from 1 species
AUUGAACGCUAGCGGGAUGCCUUACACAUGCAAGUCGAACGGCAGCGCGGACUUCGGUCUGGCGGCGAGUGGCGAACGGGUGAGUAAUGUAUCGGAACGUGCCUAGUAGCGGGGGAUAACUACUCGAAAGAGUAGCUAAUACCGCAUACGCCCUACGGGGAAAGGGGGGAGUCGCAAGACCUCUCACUAUUAGAGCGGCCGAUAUCGGAUUAGCUUGUUGGUGAGGUAAUGGCUCACCAAGGCGACGAUCCCUAGCUGGUCUGAGAGGAUGAUCAGCCACACUGGAACUGAGACACGGUCCAGACUCCUACGGGAGGCAGCAGUGGGGAAUUUUGGACAAUGGACGCAAGUCUGAUCCAGCCAUUCCGCGUGCAGGACGAAGGCCUCGGGUUGUAAACUGCUUUGUACAGAACGAAAAGGUCUCUAUUAAUACUAGGGCUCAUGACGGUACUGUAAGAAUAAGCACCGGCUAACUACGUGCCAGCAGCC